CCAGAUCCUAAACCCACAGAGCGAGGCCAGGGAUCAAACCUGCAUCCUCACAGUGACAAUGUUUGGACUUUAACCUGCUGAGCCACAAUGGGAACUUCUGUUUUUAUUUUUUAAAAAUUAAAAAGUAAAGCCUUCAGUAUAUACAGAAAAUAGAUAAAAAUCAGUUUGUAUUUUUUUUUAGAACUAGUUAAAAAUCUUUAAAUAUUUUUGUGUUCUCCCUAGUUUAGACCAUUGGGGGCUAAAACAAAUGACUGUAGAAACCUCAAAUAACCAAGGCAUCCGAUGUGUGGUUUGUCAGAUAUGCCUAGCUAGAACAUUUACUUCUCCUGUGACCCAGAUCUAUCUUAAGAAACUAGCUAGCCAGUUCCAACAGCUCCACUUUCUACCUGCUGUGGAUUCCUCAGGUACUCCUCUCCAGUCCUCUCCAUUUAGAGUAACAGUGCUCCGGAUGUGGUAUGGGUACCCCUGGGAAUUUCUGCUACUCUUUCAGUGCAUCUUCAAGAAGGUCAAAACUUUUUUCAUAAUCAGAUGUUAUUUACUGUUUUAACUUCCAUUCUCUCAUGAGUGUACAGAAGAGUUUUUCAUAGGCUACACAACACAUUAUAUAAGAGACUGUAUACAGAAGCAAAUCUGGAGAUCUAGUUGUCUUCUGUUAAUCCAGACAUUAAAAAAUUUGCAACAAUGUAAAAUAAUGCCUCUCACUAAUAUUUUUACUUUUUUUCCUUUUUGCUUUUGUUUUGUUUUCUUUGUUGCUUUUUAGGGCCACACCUGCGGCAUAUGGAAGUUCCCAGGCCAGGGGUCCAAUCAGAGUUACAGCUGCCAGCCUAUGUCACAGCCAGAGCAACAGCAAUCCUGGAUCUGAGCUGUGUCUGCGACCACAGCUCAGGGCAAUGCUGGAUCCUUAACCCACUGAGCGAGGCCAGGGAUCAAACCCCCAUGCUCAUGGAUACAAGUCUGAUUCGUUUCUGUUAUACCAUAAUGGGAACUCCGAAAUUAACAAAUACUUUAAAAAAUCUUUCAGUGUUAAUUUCUAAUGUAAUAAGUACUGCGAGAUAUAGCCCACAUGAACAAAAGCUAUUAGGGGUCCAUAAUAAUUUUUAAGAGUAUAAAGGGAUCCUGAGACCAAAGAGUUUGAGAAGCAUAACUCUGCCUUCAAAGAUAAAGAAAAAAUUCCUAAACUCUCCACACAUCUUGAUUCAAGCAUGGAAAUCUGAGUAUACAGCUUAAAAAAGUAUACAGAGUAAAUACAUAAAGUAAGGAAAAUAAAUACAGAAGCACUGAAUCAUUCUAUAGUAGAGAAGGGAGGGACAGGGAUUUUGGAUUAUCCUGGAUCCCUGGAUCCAGAAAAAACUACUUGAAUUUAAUUGCAUAUGCUACUUUGAGCAUCCUCAGGCAGGAAUGUAGACUUCAAUUAUUUUCCCUAAGAAAAAAACACAAUCUUCUUUACCUUGAAGUAAACAAAACUGUCCAAGGGCUGCCUGAUAUGGACUGAAUUGUGCCUUCCCCACCCCCAGCUUCAUAUAGUGCGGCACUAAUUCCCCAGUGUGACUAUAUUUGGAGAUAGAGCCUUUAAGGAGGUAAUUAAAGUGACAUGAGGUCACAAGAGGAGAGCUGAUAGGACUGCUGCUCGUAUAAGAGGAGGAAGAGACACCACAGCUCUGCCUGCACAUGCAGAAGAAAGGCCAUGUGAGGUCAUAGCAAGAAGGCAGCCAUGUGCAAGCCAGGAAGCGGGCUCUCACCAGAAGCCAACUACACCAGCACCUUAAUCGUGAACUCCUAACCUCCACACUCUUAAGAAAAAUUUUGUUGUUUAAGCUACCCAGUCUGUGGUAUUUACCCAAACUGGCUAUAUGCGCCCUGCCUAUAUUCUGUUUCCACAUAAGCACUCCAUAAAUAAAAUGAGUAAGAGGGAAAAAAUGGAGGCAUUUUAAGGAGGAAGAAGAUGCUGAAUAAAUGUCUUCAUGGUGCACACAUCAUAAUUUAUGUUAUGUGGCCACUAAGGAGAUGCUUAUGUUUUGUUCUCAAAAUGUCAUCUAAUUUUUUCCCAUUGAUUAACAUCAGGACAGAAACACCCACAUUUUUUCCUCCAGGUUAAUGUCAGAUCUAAAAUUCAUGCUCUCCUAUCUCAGCUCACAUUUUAACUAACACUAUUAGGUAUUGUGUUCUGUCAACUAAUAGAGAGCCCUGCCUCUCGAUGGCUUUGCAACUUGACAGUCAUGAUGCAGCUUCACCCCCCUUUACCCUUUCCAUAGGGCCACAUGAAUGCUUAUGCGUGACCAAUUCAUGCCUCCUACCGGUUCUGGAAUAUCAAGAAAUUCCUUUUUAAAAGUCAAACCUAAUUGGCUUGGGAAUUGUUUUUGUGCCUCUCUAAUGAAGGGCAAACUAUCCCAAUGGCAGGUCAGCCAGCACUUGCAGGGAAAGAAAAUUGAUUUAACUCCACCAAAUUGCUCUCAAAUGCACAACAGCUCUCUAGCUAUGAAAAAGGCACAGAAGAUAAAAGGAAAACGUUGGGGUCAUUCCUUAAUUUUGAUUUUGAAAUGCUUUAGAGUAAGAUACUCCCUCCCUCUAAGAAGCUUCUUCCUUCCCCUCAAACACAGAAACCAGAUCUUGUUUAGCACUAUCUUCCCUGUACAAAGCACUGAGUCUAAAACACAGCAAGUGCUCAAAAUGCAUUUCAGUGGAAAGGGAAGUUGGAUAAACACUGAUAAGAAUACUUUUUAAAAAUGAUUUGAAAUUAUUUGCUAUAGAAAAAUUUAUAGAAAAUGGAAAAGCACUGAAACUUUACUUAAAAAAAAAAAAAAGAAAAGAAAAACCUCUAAAUUAAAAGAACGUAAGGAUUUCCCUGGUGGUUCAGUGGGCUAAGGACCCCCACUGUCACCUCUUUGGUGUGGGUUCAAUCCCUGGCCUGGGAAUGGGAACUUCUGCCUGACACGGGCAUGGCCAAAAAAAAAGAAAAAGAAAAAAGAACAUAAAACUGUUAUUUAAAUCUUUAUUUUAGAGUUCUCUGAUAUAAUAUUAAACAGUCUCAGAUAAUCUUUACUGAUACAAAAUGUAUGGAACACCAUGUUAGGUGCCAACUUUAGGAGCAACAAAAUAGGGGAGAACUGUGUUUUUAUCUGUUAAAUGUAAAUGAUAGUUCCUAGUUCCUUGCUGAACAAGCAUGUAUGUUCUUUACAUAGAAUUCAAAAGGUAGUUUUAAACAUUGAGAAAAUGAAUCCUAAACAAACGGUUCCUCCAAUUUCAUAAUAUACCUUGUGCUUCUUUGAGCAUCCUUGGGCAGAAACACGGACUCCGGUAACAUAUUCCUGUGGGAAAACACUACCUUUUUAAAUGCUGAUGCAUCCUAGGGGCAAUUAAAAGCCCACUAUGAGCAAAACCUCUACUCUGUUUCCAUGUAAUCCAUCCAGGUAUCCACCAAAUACUUGAAGGAUUAUUCCUUACAUCCUUCACCUUGUUGUUUGGUCCAAAUCACUACCUUUUAUGUUUCAGAAGUUCAAAAUAUUGUCUUUGUGAGAAAAACAAAUAAACAAAAACUAGAUCCAGAGACUCCUGGCAGGGUUGAAGUAAGGAGGUAAUUCAUAACAGAUUCUCAGAGCCAAAAGCUGCUGCCAAGUUACAUUUAUUCAGCAAAAAUAAUACUAAAUAAAGGUGUCACAAUCGUUAGUAGAAGUACAAAUUCACUAGUAAAACUAACUUCUUAGUAAGCUCCUGUGAGGAAACAGAACUAUAUAUAGGUAUGAACUCAAACACACAUUAUAUUAAAGGCCUGUGUGUUUGCAUUCCUGAUGCCUAUGAUACUACACGCCUUGUUACCAGUAAAUGAAGGAACCUUCCUCUAUAGCUUCAUGCUAACACUACCCCUUUUUGUCUUAAAUUUUUCACUAUUUCAGCCUCAUCUAACAAACUAGAGUUAAUACCUGAUCUAAGACUGAAGCAAGUUCUACUUGUGUGAAUAAUGAGGUGUUGCAUAUUACAUUUGCUUGAAGGAACCAGAAAAACAAACCUAAGCCAGAAUUAAAUCGGAUGUAGAAAUGAACAGUUCCUCUACCCUUGGGCGACACUUCCCUGAAAGUGUUACAAAUGCAUAAUUGUUAACAAACAUGAAAUGGAAAGAAUCCUUUCCUAUACUGACUUUAGUAAACAAGAUACAAGAAAUACCAUAUAUUUCCCAAUUUUCAAGAUCUCUCUAUGGCUGGAAUAUGUCAAACCACCAUGCAUCUCAGACUUCAGUGAGUACCAGAAAAAGCUUUAAGUUUCUAUGCAUAUUUUAGAUAUUUCAGACUAAAGAUGUUAAAGCAUCUUGGUAAAUCCUUAGGACCAGGAUUUGAAUGCAACAGCCUAUUUUGCUAUACUAUGCAGCUGUCUUGUAAAACGAGGUAGAUUCAUGGACAGAUCUCCAAAAUGAAAAAGCGAAAGCACAAAACCAAAUGCAUCUAAGGAAAGCUGUAUUAGAUGGGACCUGUGCUUCUCAAAGUCUGAUAAUUUUUAAAGAGACUAUACUGAUGUCUGCAUCUGUAUACCUUAAAAAAAUUAAUUCUGCUGGAAUGUAAGCUCCUCAAGGCCAAAGACCAUAUUGCACUCAUAUUUGUACUCGAGCUUUAAGAACAAAGCUUGGCACGAGUUAACAUACAGUGAAGGUAUAUUUUAACAUAUUUAUUUGAGGGGGUAUCUUUUUAAAAACUAUUAUCUUUUUAAAAAUAAAUAAGUGGGGACGUGUCAAAGAGAGAUUUUUAAAAUACAGGUUGAGGCAGUUUAAAGUGGUAUGCAAGAAAAUUUGUAUUAAAACAUUCACACCAUGCUUCUUCUCUGACCCCACUCCUGACUUCCCAAUAGAAGAAUGCAUCAAGGAGACAUGGAAAAUUAAUUUUGGUUUAUUUUUAGUCUUGGUGAUAAAAAUAAAAGAUGAAGAAAAACUAUUAGCACGAUGUAAACAGGAAGAAAUUCAAAAUAAAAAAAUGGAAAAAUAACAACAAGAAAGAGCAGAAUAUAACUAGGUAGAUUUGAACCCCAGCAUUAUCUGGUUUCAGUAAAAUAGAAUUAAACCCAAAGCACUCAUCUCCUACAACAUUUUUUGUUAUAUAUAUAAUAUAUUUAUCUGGUUGUUAGCCACAGUGGACUUAAUAUCAAACCAAGAGGAAAAUAUAAAAUUUACAAUAAUGUACAAGAUUCUGCUGAAUUACCAGCACUCCAAAACAUUGGCAAUUUCACAAAGGAAAUAAUCUAGUUACACUACUGGCAAGAAGACACCAAAAAGCAUCAAGUUAACAAGUGCAAUAUAAUAUUCCAUGGGCUAAAAAACACUAACAGUUCAGAGUACAGGGAGCAUUUAGUUCUUUACCCUUAUAUUUAUCAUUAUGACAAUGACCAGAAUUCACAUAAAGAUAUGCCAUUCUAGUCACUUAAAAGAGCCAAUAUCCUUGUGGGGGAAAAUAAAAUUAUUUUAGCUUAAUUUUCAAUUUUCGUUUCCUUUUCCAGGCUAAAUUAUUUUACCCUAAUGUUUAUAUCAAACAUGUCCUCCAAACUUACAGUCUUUAUCUUAUAAAGUAUUUAAAAAAAAAUCUUUCCUCAUAACAUUGGUCCCACAGUCCUUGACACUCCUCAGGGAGCCUCUUAGAAAAAUUUAGUUAUAAAAAGUAAUUGAAAAUGUCAAUGAUGACUUAAUAUUUAUGUUCAUUAAUCUCUCAGGCAAAGCCAUAAAGUUGUAAUACCUUUGUAAGAUCAAAAGCUUAAAGUUUGUUUUUAAUUCCAUCAACCACCUGGAUAUCAUUUCAAAAAAACCUUGACUGCAUAAUUCCUUAUUUAACAUAAAAAAAUGUCACCAGGUAUAAUAAAUACCUAUGAGUGAUUUAACAGAAAAUACAUAUCAUUGAAUAAGAUCUGCAAAAGACGUGAGAGCUCUUCAAUGUACAAACUGCUUAUGAGUUAGAGAAUACCUCAACUGAUGAAUAAAUCUGUAAGACUUGAUCUCAGAUGGAUUUGAACAAAAGGAUUAUUUUGUUAGUAAUUCUCUGAAGUAUUUUUCCAUCAGACUGAUAAAACACAAGGUAAAUGAUGAUACGAAAUCUACAGCAAAAACUCUGCCAUCAAUAUACAACCUACUGAGGAUCUGUUUGAUUAUCAUUAACCUAUUGUUUUGGCCACUUCCAUGGCAUGUGGGUGUUUGUGAGCCAGGGAUCGAACCUAUGUCACUUCAGUGACAAUGCUAUAUCCUUAACCAGCUGCACUAAAGAAGAACUCCCGUCAUUAAACUAUUUUUUUUUUAAAUAGUGAUUACCCAAAAGUCUGAGAUUGCAACCACAGUUUUUCUACAAAUAGUCACUGUCACCUCAUUAGCUGCCAUGUAAAGCUCCUAUGCAUGAAUUCUUCAAGUCUUUAUCUCAACAGCAUUUCCCAAAUUGGCAAUUAAUUACAACAGGACUAUGUUUCACCUUCUAGGCUAGCCAUGCCUUAGUAAACAUGUGCUAAUUUCAGCAUACUAUAUUUAUUACCUAAUCUCCAAGUCAGACUAGACCCUCCUUCCCACAGUGAAUUAUUUUUCUGUGUGCUUUCUCCAAAUGGAAAGUCAUAAGCCUCUCAGUAGCCUAUGUGGAUGCAGAUGGAAGUGAGGCUACUAUUUUAAAGAGCAAUGCAUUUCUUAUUCUCACAAACACCCAAUACUCUACACUCAGUGUGAGUUGUUUCCUUAAUUUAGGCACCCAAUCUAGAUACUGAAAGGACAAUGUCAGUGGCCCGAAGGAUCUGGGUACUAAGCAUCUGGUUUAAAGAGCAGACAAACUACUGCUAAAGAUAUAAGGGGAAACCAGCCCAAACUUACAGGCAUGAUCCUGAUAAAUCUAGGACACACUAGUUCCUCCUGCCAGGCCCCAAGGGCCUUACUUAACCAUUGAAGCCCUUUUGAUAAUUAUGGGACUAGGAUAAACUAGAUAAAUACUAUGCUACUACUGUCUUCAAAUCACACUACCAAUACUAACUUAAACAAAGAUUCUCUUAAAUGUUGAGCUCUCCUCAAUCACUCUCACUAAACUCCAUUUUUCCUCUAAAGGGAACUCUGGAAUGGUGUAAUGCUGUUGAAAUGACAAAUACUCUAACAACCAUUUAAAUCUUAUAAAAUAACAAUUUCAGCAAAGUCUCUUUGCUCACCAGGAAGUUCCUCUACGACACUGAAUGACACCUGAGGCAGUUGUCUGGGAAACACUGCCACAUAGCCCUGAUCACUGUGUGCUGUGAGAUCCAGGAAGGAAAGGAGCACAGCCAACCAACAGAGGUAACAGUUCUCACUGAGCUUCUCAUUCUCCUGUUUUCUCAGCUUAGUAAGCUCUUACUGCAGAAACAUCAAAAAGCCUCCUCAAACAUCCUUCCUCCCAGAAGGCUACUGGCUCCCAGAAGGCUACUGGCUUAGCCUCCCCCAGUAGCACCAGAGGCUGAAGAAGACUGGAUCAUCCAACCCGCCAAUCUACAGAAGUCCAGACAACAGGCUAGAGUUUUGUUUCAGUGACUGGAUUCUUAAAAUAUGUGGGAGGAAAGCCCAGAAGGACCUUCAUUAAGGAAAAGAACUUUAAAGGUUUUUCUGCAGUUGAACUUGAUUCUCCAUUGUUUUUUUUCAAACUCCCCUGGAAGCAAAUGAAGUGAUUUCCUCCUAGUUUAGAUGCUGAGGUUGGAAUUAAACAAACAAACAAACAAACAAACUGGUUCAUUGCUCAACCAUAAACAUUAGUAGAAAAGCGAAACAAAACCAGGCAAUAAAGAACAGUGACUACUACCAUGGUGGUCCUACAAGGUCAACGGCUCAUUAGUCCUCUUUUUUUAAAACACAUUCAGGAAAGUGAACAGUCUUAACUCACAAGAAACUUUGACUUUUCUGACUAGGAAAGAGAAGUACAUAGUAUGAUUAAACACAUGACAAAUGUUUUCAGUCUUCUUCAAAUGCCAGUCUUAACCCAUUCACCCCCUCACCUCUCAAUUCUUUCUGUCCAACCAGACCCACCUACCUCUUCUUUCCAACCCUGACUCUAUCUUUCAGCUUCAUACAAGUGUCCUCCCCAACACAGACUCCUUUCCAAGCCAAAGUCUUGCAAGGCUCAAGGUAUGGCCGUUUUGAAAAUAACUGCCUAUCAGCUUCUUCCUUACUUAAAUCUCUGCAUGUCUUUCAUCUUCAUCACUAAUGUCCCAAUUUUACCUAAAGAUCUUUAGAUUCAAAGUUCUACAGGCACUCCCAAGACAAUCACAAAUGGAUUACAACAAUGAAUCAGGUUAGAGGUGAUUAUAGGUUACAGGUCAGGUGAAUCCUGACCACUCUUUCACAGACACAGGAAUUGUUACUGUCACAUUUAUUGCACAGAAAUAACAGGGCAGUGCAUAGCCACCUUUACAAUGGCGACUGGAUGUAAAAGAAGCUGUACCACCAAGGGCUCCAAAAUUUCCCUCAUUCCCACUCCUAGUUUACCGUAAAACUCUUAAAACAUACAUAUCUAAGGAUUAAAUUUUUUUUUUUUUAAAAAAAAGACUAUAUCUCUGGUUGUGCCAAUGAUAUUAUGGAAAAGCAUUGCGGUGUUAGCUCUAGCUUCAACCUCCUUUGGUUUUCCAGACAUGAGGUAACUAAUUAAUAGAACAUGGAUAUACUGAUCUCCUCACCUCAAGACUCAAGAACGAUAGGGCUAAUUUAGCUCCAUCCCAACUUCUGGAAUAACCCUGGCUAAGCAUCUCUAUAGCUCAAUCUCCUAAUAUACUCACAGGGAGUGCCAAAAUGCUGCAGUUCCCUAAAAGGAGUA
rnacentral:lncRNA from 1 species